GGCGUGUAGGCGGCUACGUAAGUGUCGGGUGAAAUCCCGUCGCUCAACGACGGAACUGCUCGGCAUACUGCGUAGCUUGAGGUCGGUAGAGGUGCCUGGAACUCUAGGUGGAGCGGUGAAAUGCGUAGAUAUCUAGAGGAACGCCUGAGGCGAAAGCGGGGCACUGGGCCGAUUCUGACGCUGAGACGCGAAAGCGUGGGGAGCAAACAGGAUUAGAUACCCUGGUAGUCCACGCCGUAAACGAUGCACACUGGAUGCCGGGAACUCUGACGUUUCCGGCGUCGAAGCAAAAGUGCUAAGUGUGCCGCCUGGGGAGUACGGCCGCAAGGCUAAAACUCAAAGGAAUUGACGGGGGCUCACACAAGCGGUGGAGCAUGUGGCUUAAUUCGAAGCAACGCGAAGAACCUUACCCGGGUUUGACAUGCUUGGAUGCCUUACGGGGAUAACUCAUAAGGUUACCUUUCGGGGUGAAACGAGCACAGGUGUUGCACGGCUGUCGUCAGCUCGUGCUGUGAAGUGUCGGGUUAAGUCCCUUAACGAGCGAAACCCCUGUCGCUAGUUGCCAUCGGGUCAUGCCGGGGACUCUAGCGAGACUGCCGG
rnacentral:rRNA from 1 species